GACGAACGCUGGCGGCGUGCUUAACACAUGCAAGUCGAACGGAGUGGCGAACGGGUGAGUAACACGCUGGUGAACUGCCCUGCACUACGGGGACAGCUGGGGAAACCGGGUCCAAAAACCGCUAGUGCAAGAUGUGCUCGCGGCCUAUCAGGUUGUUGGCUGUGUAAUGGCCUACCGAGGCGUCGAUGGGUAGCCGGCCUGGGAGAGUGUACGGCCACAUUGGGACUAAGGUAGGACCCAGACUCCUACGGGGGGCAUCGGUGGGGAAUCUGGCGCAAUGAGCGGGAGCCUGAUGCAGCGGCGCCGGGUGGGGGAGGUCGGCCUGCGGGUUGUAAACUCCUUUCGGCGUGGACGCGUUACCUGUAUAAGAAGCACCGGCUAACUACGUGCCAGCAGCCGUGGUAAUAC
rnacentral:rRNA from 1 species